AAGCAACUGAGUGGUCUGACUGACGCUUCUAGGGCUUCAGUAUUUCAGAGGAGGCUUAAGAGAAGAGAGAUGUUCAGUGUGUGCUAAUAAACUGAUAUUUUCUGUUGGUGAUUAAGCCAGGAAAGAAGGGAAGAAAAACACACUUUUGUAUAUAGGAGCCAACUAAGAGAUCUCUGGAGUUCCAUAUUUCACAUCUGACAUGAUGAUUAAAUCAUUCACUGACAUUUUGGCUGCUAUGGGAUAUGAAAAUUUUUCAUGGAAAUCUAUAAUGGAACUGCUUGGAAC